UGCUGCCACUGACAAGGAUUUCACAUGCA
rnacentral:piRNA from 1 species